rnacentral:rRNA from 1 species
AUUGAACGCUGGCGGCAGGCUUAACACAUGCAAGUCGAGCGAGCGGCGGACGGGUGAGUAAUGUAUGGGAAAGUGCCUGAUGGAGGGGGAUAACUACUGGAAACGGUAGCUAAUACCGCAUACCAUUAGAGGUGCCCAGAUGGGAUUAGCUAGUAGGUGGGGUAAUGGCUCACCUAGGCGACGAUCCCUAGCUGGUCUGAGAGGAUGACCAGCCACACUGGGACUGAGACACGGUCCAGACUCCUACGGGAGGCAGCAGUGGGGAAUAUUGCACAAGGGGGGCAACCCUGAUCCAGCCAUGCCGCGUGUGUGAAGAAGGCCUUCGGGUUGUAAAGCACUUUCGGCAGAGAAGCGUUACUCGCAGAAGAAGCACCGGCUAACUACGUGCCAGCAGCCGCGGUAAUUC